GGUUGAACACCCAUUCAGAGUGAUCAAGCGCCAGUUCGGUUAUGUGAAACCACCCUGGGCUGCAUACGUAAAGAGCGUGUGUGGUGAGCGCCACGGGAAAAGGCUGACCAAGAGUCAGUCAGGU
rfam:Pseudomonadales bacterium RIFCSPLOWO2_02_FTLL_63_210 rifcsplowo2_02_scaffold_141629, whole genome shotgun sequence.